rnacentral:rRNA from 1 species
UGGGGAAUCUUCCGCAAUGGACGAAAGUCUGACGGAGCAACGCCGCGUGUAUGAUGAAGGUCUUCGGAUUGUAAAGUACUGUCAUUGGGGAAGAACGGUUUUCUUGAAAAGAUUGAGGAGACAUGACGGUACCCAAGGAGGAAGCCCCGGCUAACUACGUGCCAGCAGCCGCGGUAAUACGUAGGGGGCAAGCGUUGUCCGGAAUUAUUGGGCGUAAGGGCGCGUAGGCGGGCCUUUAAGUCCGGUGUGAAAGAUCAGGGCUCAACCCUGAGAGUGCAUCGGAAACUGGAGGCCUUGAGGACAGGAGAGGAAAGUGGAAUUCCACGUGUAGCGGUGAAAUGCGUAGAUAUGUGGAGGAACACCAGUGGCGAAGGCGACUUUCUGGACUGUAACUGACGCUGAGGCGCGAAAGCGUGGGGAGCAAACAGGAUUAGAUACCCUGGUAGUCCACGCCGUAAACGAUGAGUGCUAGGUGUAGAGGGUAUCGACCCCUUCUGUGCCGCAGUUAACACAAUAAGCACUCCCGCCUGGGGAGUACGGCCGCAAGGUUGAAACUCAAAUGAAUUGACGGGGUCAUAGCUGUUUCC